rnacentral:rRNA from 1 species
AGUCUGCAACUCGACUACAUGAAGCUGGAAUCGCUAGUAAUCGCGAAUCAGAAUGUCGCGGUGAAUACGUUCCCGGGUCUUGUACACACCGCCCGUCACACCAUGGGAGUCGGGAAUGCCCGAAGUCAGUGACCCAACCGGAAGGAGGGAGCUGCCGAAGGUAGGAUUGGCGACUGGGGUGAAGUCGUAACAAGGUAGC